AUUGAACGCUGGCGGCAGGCCUAACACAUGCAAGUCGAACGAGUGGCGGACGGGUGAGUUAUGUCUGGGAAACUGCCUGAUGGAGGGGGAUAACUACUGGAAACGGUAGCUAAUACCGCAUACCAUCAGUUGUGCCCCGGUGGGCUUAGCUAGUUGGUGGGGUAACGGCUCACCAAGGCGACGAUCCCUAUCUGGUCUGAGAGGAUGACCAGCCCUACGGGAAAUGAGACACUUUCCCGAAUCCGACGGUAGAGAACAGUGAGGAAGAUUGGACAUGGGGCGCGAGGCUGUAGCGGCCAUGCCGCGUGUAGAAAGAAGGGCUUCGGGUUGUAAAGUACUUUCAGCGGGGGGGCUUGACCCGCAGAAGAAGCACCGGCUAACUCCGUGCCAGCAGCCGCGGUAAUUC
rnacentral:rRNA from 1 species